CGGCUGAACUUUGGACGCAUGAAUUCCUAUCUUUUAGGGAUCCAAAAUGCACGAAAUUUGGAUAUGUUUAUCUCCUCUUAGCUUCCAAACCACCAGAAUUUUUUGAGAAUUUUAUCAGCCAAAUUAGUUGGCUAAAUUAGGUGUGAUACGUGGGGGGAUCUUUUGGCUAUAAAAGACCCCCAUGCCUUGGGUUCAAGAUAUACCAUAUUUAGAGGUUUCAAAAAAUUCU
rnacentral:lncRNA from 1 species